rnacentral:misc_RNA from 1 species
UAGAGUUAUCACAACUCCAAACCCAUGUGAACAUACCUAUUGUUGCUUCGGCAGGUCGCUGGACUGCCGGGAAAAGCCUCCCCUUAGACGGGGCGGCCUACCCGGGAGGCCAGCGGGCAUGCCUGCCGGUAGCCCUUGAAAACUCUGUUUUAGUAUUGAAACUCUGAAUCUUACUGAAUAAGUUA